rnacentral:rRNA from 1 species
UACGUGUGAGGCAAGCGUUAUUCGUCAUUAUUGGGCGUAAAGAGCGUGUAGGCGGCCAGGUAGGUCUGCUGUGAAAACUCGAGGCUUAACCUCGAGCUGUCGGCGGAAACCAUCUGGCUAGAGUCCGGAAGAGGAGAAUGGAAUUCCCGGUGUAGCGGUGAAAUGCGCAGAUAUCGGGAAGAACACCCGUGGCGAAGGCGGUUCUCUGGGACGGUACUGACGCUGAGACGCGAAAGCGUGGGGAGCGAACAGG